GCUGGGGUGACCCAGAAUCUGAAGGAAGUCGCAAGCAAAGUGUUGAUAUGACGCACAGGAAUCGUAUGAGACUGUUUAUCUGGAUGAGGAAGUAAAUACCUCUAAAGUUCGGCACUUACACGGAAAGAUGGGCAGUAGAUACGGCAUGUAUAAGCGUAAGCCGUCAAC
rnacentral:ncRNA from 1 species